GGGGCUGCAAAGAGAUGCACCUCAGGCUUCCCUAUAGCUGACACUCGCCAGUGAUGCUCAUCUUUGACUAGAGGGGUGGAGUACAGACUCAUGAUAUAACCAGCAUCCUAACUGAGGGACUCGGGUGGGGUUUUUUUUUUUUUUUUGGUAGUGUUAUCAGAUAAUUAAGAUUCACUGAAUUCCUAAUAUGAGCUGAAUAAAGAGCUCUGUGUGUGGCACCUCGGUGACAGCCUGGCGAGGUUGGGGCUCAGCUCCUCAUACCAUCAGUGGAGACGGAGAUAAGGGAGACUCAUCCAGAAGAAGAAAAAGGAGAAAACGGGGCAGAAAAUUUAUUUCAAGAAAUAAUAGCAGAAAACUUCCCUUAUCUGGGGAAGAAAAAUGGAUAUCCAGAUUCAGGAGAAAAAAAGUAAACACCGUAAAGACAGAACUUUUGUGUAUUUGCUCAUAGCUCUAUCUGGAAUGGUCCUUGGAAUGACCCUGGAACCUAGUCGGUGCUAGGAAUGAAUUUGUGGAAUGAAUGAAUGAAAGAACAUCAAGUGAAAUAGUUCUAAAUGCUUUUGACUGUUAUAGAAAGAGCCUUUCUAGAGAGAGAGAGGAUGGAAACUCUCCCUGUGACCCAACAUGAGGCAAUUUCUCUCUCAAUGUCAAACAUCCAUUCAAUAAACAUUUAUUGAGCAUUUACUUAUGGUAGUCAUUCUGCUAAACACAAAGAUAAAUAAAAACUCAACCCCUAAGAGCUAUCGGUCUGCAGCUACCAGCCCUCCCC
rnacentral:lncRNA from 1 species